ensembl:lncRNA
GUUUUUAAACUUCCGCAUCUGAAAAGAAUCCCCAAAUAUUUUGCAAAAGUCAUGAAAUUCUAUCUUUAGUCAUAUGAAGGGGGACGCCGGUGAGAAAACGUACUUUUGAAUAAAAAUCGAAAUUUUUUCUAAAUUGGAGUCAUAAGACAUUCUAAUGGCAGUAGUUGACACGGUACAGUGGUGUAGUGGUUAGCACUCUCGCCUCCCAGACAGAUGCCUCGGGUUCAACUCCACCCAGUGGUGCCUCUGUGUUAGGUGGUGUAGGCUAAGCCUGCAUGGGAUUCACUCCAUACUUGUAAAAGUAAUGAAAAAAUUUUUUUUAAACUUCCAAGUCUGAAAUAAAUGCCAAAAUAUUUGCAAAUGUCAUGAAAUUCUAUCUUGAGUCAUCUGAAGGGGGACGACGGUGAGAAAACCUACUUUUGAAUAAAAAUCCGAAUUUUUUCUAAAUUGGAGUCAUAAGACAUUCUAAUGGCAGCAGUUGACACGGUACGGUGGUGUAGUGGUUAGCACUCUCGCCUCCCAGACAGAUGCCUCGGGUUCAACUCCACCCAGUGGCGCCACUGCGUUAGGUGGUGUAGGCUAAGCCUGCAUGGGGUUCAGUACAUACUUCUAAAAGUGAUGGAAAAAAGUUUUUUUAAGCUUCAGAGUCUGAAAAGAAUGCCAAAAUAUUUUGCAAAAAGUCAUGAAAUUCUAUCUUUAGUCAUAUGAAGGGGCACGACGGUGAGAAAACGUACUUUUGAAUAGAAAAUCUGAAUUUUUUCUAAAUUGGAGUCAUAAGACAUUCUAAUGGCAGCAGUUUAUAUGGUACAGUGGUGAAAUUCUAUCUUUAGUCAUAUGAAGGGGGACGACGGUGAGAAAACGUACUUUUGAAUAGAAAAUCUGAAUUUUUUCUAAAUUGGAGUCAUAAGACAUUCUAAUGGCAGCAGUUUAUACGGUACAGUGGUGUAGUGGUUAGCACUCUCGCCUCCCAGACAGAUGCCUCGGGUUCAACUCCACCCAGUGGCGCCACUGUGUUAGGUGGCGUAGGCUAAGCCUGCAUGGGAUUCACUCCAUACUUGUAAAAGUAAUGGAAAAAAGUUUUUUAAAACUUCAGCAUCUGAAAAGAAUCCCCAAAUAUUUUGCAAAAAGUCAUGACAUUCUUUCUUUAGUCAUAUGAAGGGGGACGCCGGUGAGAAAACGUACUUUUGAAUAAAAAUCUGAAUUUUUUCUAAAUUGGAGUAAUUAGACAUUCUAAUGGCAGCAGUUGACACGGUACAGUGGUGUAGUGGUUAGCACUCUCGCCUCCCAGACAGAUGCCUCGGGUUCAACUCCACCCAGUGGAUCCUCUGUGUUAGGUGGUGUAGGCUAAGCCUACAUGGGAUUCACUCCACACUUGUAAAAGUAAUGGAACAUUUUUUUUUAAAACUUCAGUAUCUGAAAAGAAUCCCCAAAUAUUUUGCAAAAAGUCAUGAAAUUCUAUCUUUAAUCAUAUGAAGGGGGACGCCGGUGAGAAAACGUACUUUUGAAUAAAAAAAGAAAUUUUUUCUAAAUUGGAGUCAUAAGACAUUCUAAUGGCAGCAGUUGACACGGUACAGUGGUGUAGUGAUUAGCACUCUCGCCUCGCAGACAGAUGCCUCGAGGUUCAACUCCACCCGGUGCGCCACUGUGUUAGGUGGUGUAGGCUAAGCCUGCAUGAGGUUCACUCCAUACUUGUAAAAGUAAUGGAAAAAACUUUUUUUAAACUUCCGCGUCCGAAAAGAAUCCCAAAAUAUUUUGCAAAAAGUCAUUAAAUUCUAUCUUUAGUCAUAUGAAGGUGCAGGAUGGUGAGAAAACCUACUUUUGAAUAAAAAUCCGAAUUUUUUCUAAAUUGGAGUCAUAAGACAUUCUAAUGGCAGCAGUUGACACGGUACAGUGGUGUAGUGGUUAGCACUCUCGCCUCCCAGACAGAUCCCUCGGGUUCAACUCCACCCAGUGGCGCCUCUGUGUUAGGUGGUGUAGGCUAAGCCUGCAUACUUGAAAUGAAAAAAACUUUAAGCCAUUUUUACACCACUACUCAGCAUGCGCCGGAAG